GGGAUUGCACAGACAACCAGGAUGUUGGCUUAGAAGCAGCCACUCAUUCAAAGAGUGCGUAAUAGCUCACUGGUCGAGUGAUCCUGCGCCGAAGAUUUCCGGGGCUAAAACUUACUACCGAAGCUACGGCAUCAGUAAUGAUGGGUAGGGGAGCUUCCCAUACGGGUUGAAGCAUGACCGUAAGGACAUGUGGACAGUAUGGGAGUGAGAAUGUUGGCAUGAGUAGCGAGAUGUGGGUGAGAAUCCCACAGGCCGUAAACCCAAGGUUUCCAGGGGAAGGUUCGUCCGCCCUGGGUUAGUCGGGACCUAAGCUGAGGCCGAAAGGCGUAGGUGAUGGACAACAGGUUGAUAUUCCUGUACUACCGAUAACCGUUUGAGAGAAGGGAUGACACAGUAGGAUAAGCUAAGCACACUGUUGGUUAUGUGUGCCCAAGCAUUGAGGCAGUCAAAGUAGGCAAAUCCGCUUUGAUAAUGCUGGGAUGUGAUGGGGAGCGAAAUUUAGUAGCGAAGUAGCUGAUUUCACACUGUCAAGAAAAGUCUCUAUCGAGGUUAAAGGUACCCGUACCGCAAACCGACACAGGUGGGUGAGGAGAGUAUCCUAAGGCCAGCGAGAGAACUGUUGUUAAGGAACUCGGCAAAAUGACCCCGUAACUUAGGGAUAAGGGGUGCCACCAUCAGGUGGCCGCAGAGAAUAGGCCCAAGCGACUGUUUACCAAAAACAUAGGUUUCUGCUAAGUCGCAAGACGAUGUAUAGGAGCUGACGCCUGCCCGGUGCUGGAAGGUUAAGGGGAUCUGUUAGAGCAAUCGAAGCAGUGAACUUAAGCCCCAGUAAACGGCGGCCGUAACUAUAACGGUCCUAAGGUAGCGAAAUUCCUUGUCGGGUAAGUUCCGACCCGCACGAAAGGCGUAACGAUUUGGGCACUGUCUCAACAACAGACUCGGUGAAAUUGUAAUUCCGGUGAAGAUGCCGGAUACCUGCGACAGGACGGAAAGACCCCAUGGAGCUUUACUGUAGCUUGACAUUGGGUUUUGGUACUACAUGUACAGGAUAGGUGGGAGGCUUUGAAACCAGGACGCCAGUUUU
rnacentral:rRNA from 1 species